rnacentral:rRNA from 1 species
GACGAACGCUGGCGGCGUGCUUAACACAUGCAAGUCGAACGAUGAAGCCUAGCUUGCUAGGUGGAUUAGUGGCGAACGGGUGAGUAAUACGUGAGUGACCUACCUUUGACUCUGGGACAAGCCUGGGAAACUGGGUCUAAUACCGGAUACGACCAAUCUCUGCAUGGGGUGUUGGUGGAAAGCGUUAUGGAGUGGUUUUAGAUGGGCUCACGGCCUAUCAGCUUGUUGGUGAGGUAAUGGCUUACCAAGGCGACGACGGGUAGCCGGCCUGAGAGGGUGACCGGCCACACUGGGACUGAGACACGGCCCAGACUCCUACGGGAGGCAGCAGUGGGGAAUAUUGCACAAUGGGCGCAAGCCUGAUGCAGCGACGCCGCGUGAGGGAUGACGGCCUUCGGGUUGUAAACCUCUGUUAGCAUCGAAGAAGCGAAAGUGACGGUAGGUGCAGAGAAAGC